UGAAGACUCUCGAUACUAAGGAGGGAACCUCCAUAUGAGGCUUAGGAUUGCUAAACAGAAGAAUAUCUGCAUUCAGCUCCUCAAGAUCAAGCUUUCCAGAAAAACAUCACAAGGAAUCUAUUCAAACUAGCAGAGCCACCCACCCUCCUUUUUAUUCUCUUCCCUGAAAAUGUUCCGAGCCACCAUUUUUCAACGAACUGUAUACGAAGCAGCCU
rnacentral:lncRNA from 1 species